rnacentral:rRNA from 1 species
UACAGAGGUCUCAAGCGUUGUUCGGAUUCAUUGGGCGUAAAGGGCGCGUAGGCUGCGGGGCAAGUCGGGUGUGAAAUCUCAGAGCUCAACUCUGAAACUGCACUCGAUACUGCUUUGCUUGAGGACUGGAGAGGAGAUUUGAAUUCACGGUGUAGCAGUGAAAUGCGUAGAUAUCGUGAGGAAGACCAGUGGCGAAGGCGGAUCUCUGGACAGUUCCUGACGCUGAGGCGCGAAGGCCAGGGGAGCAAACGGG